rnacentral:tRNA from 1 species
CUCCCUGUGGUGAAUCAGCGAUCACGCCUGCCUGUCGAGCAGGAGAGCCGGGGGCAGCACCCGGCAGGGGGG